rnacentral:rRNA from 1 species
CUGAUAACCGAAGCUGCGGAUGGGCGCGUAAGCGUCCGUGGUAGGGGAGNUUUCUGUAGGUCUGUGAAGGUGUCUCGUAAGGGAUGCUGGAGAUAUCAGAAGUGCGAAUGCUGACAUGAGUAGCGAUAAAGCGGGUGAAAAGCCCGCUCGCCGAAAGCCCAAGGUUUCCUACGCAACGUUCAUCGGCGUAGGGUGAGUCGGCCCCUAAGGCGAGGCUGAAAAGCGUAGUCGAUGGGAAACGGGUUAAAAUUCCCGUACUUUUAUGCAGUGCGAUGUGGGGACGGAGAAGGUUAGGUCAUCAGACUGUUGGAAUAGUCUGUUUAAGCCGGUAGGCUGGAGUGGUAGGCAAAUCCGCCGCUCCUUAAGGCCGAGAAGUGAUGACGAGGGUCUACGGACCUGAAGUGACUGAUACCACGCUUCCAGGAAAAGCCACUAAGCUUCAGCUGCAUAAGAACCGUACCGCAAACCGACACAGGUGGGCAGGAUGAGAAUUCUAAGGCGCUUGA